CCUGGUGGCUCAGAGGUUAAAGCGUCUGCCUGCAAUGCGGGAGACCGGGGUUCGAUCCCUGGAUCAGGA
rnacentral:tRNA from 1 species